CUCCAUUUCUCUAAACACCAACAGUUACAGAACCGUUAGCUUCACAAAUGUACAACAGUGCUGUCAAAUUAUGCAUUUUUAUGAAGAAAGGGUGAGGUUAGCUUCAGCUCAACAUGUUGCAGAACUGUGAGGAGCCCAGUGAGAUGGAGAGGCCAAGUAGACUGGUUAUAUUGGGACAAAGAGGCAGAGUGGACUGGUUACAUUAUUCCUUGAGAAAGAAUGAGCAGAGAAAUUCAAGCUGGAGCAGAUUAUGGUGGACGUCAAGGUGUUCAAGACUCACAAAAUGAUGUCCAGACCAGAUGGGGCCUCACAGCUGUAAUAAGAGAGCGAGUCAGUGUAUCGGCUUGUCACCGCCUUUCUGCUACAUCUAUUCAUGUGUGCUGAUGGACGAAACACGUGCACCUCGUGCC